AUAAUGGGUCAGCGACUUAUAUUCUGUAGCAAGGUUAACCGAAUAGGGGAGCCGAAGGGAAACCGAGUCUUAACUGGGCGUUAAGUUGCAGGGUAUAGACCCGAAACCCGGUGAUCUAGCCAUGGGCAGGUUGAAGGUUGGGUAACACUAACUGGAGGACCGAACCGACUAAUGUUGAAAAAUUAGCGGAUGACUUGUGGCUGGGGGUGAAAGGCCAAUCAAACCGGGAGAUAGCUGGUUCUCCCCGAAAGCUAUUUAGGUAGCGCCUCGUGAAUUCAUCUCCGGGGGUAGAGCACUGUUUCGGCAAGGGGGUCAUCCCGACUUACCAACCCGAUGCAAACUGCGAAUACCGGAGAAUGUUAUCACGGGAGACACACGGCGGGUGCUAACGUCCGUCGUGAAGAGGGAAACAACCCAGACCGCCAGCUAAGGUCCCAAAGUCAUGGUUAAGUGGGAAACGAUGUGGGAAGGCCCAGACAGCCAGGAUGUUGGCUUAGAAGCAGCCAUCAUUUAAAGAAAGCGUAAUAGCUCACUGGUCGAGUCGGCCUGCGCGGAAGAUGUAACGGGGCUAAACCAUGCACCGAAGCUGCGGCAGCGACGCUUAUGCGUUGUUGGGUAGGGGAGCGUUCUGUAAGCCUGCGAAGGUGUGCUGUGAGGCAUGCUGGAGGUAUCAGAAGUGCGAAUGCUGACAUAAGUAACGAUAAAGCGGGUGAAAAGCCCGCUCGCCGGAAGACCAAGGGUUCCUGUCCAACGUUAAUCGGGGCAGGGUGAGUCGACCCCUAAGGCGAGGCCGAAAGGCGUAGUCGAUGGGAAACAGGUUAAUAUUCCUGUACUUGGUGUUACUGCGAAGG
rnacentral:rRNA from 1 species